rnacentral:rRNA from 1 species
CGGCGGACGGGUGAGUAACGCGUGGGUAACCUGCCUCAUACAGGGGGAUAACAGUUAGAAAUGACUGCUAAUACCGCAUAAGACCACAGCACCGCAUGGUGCGGGGGUAAAAACUCCGGUGGUAUGAGAUGGACCCGCGUCUGAUUAGCCAGUUGGCGGGGUAACGGCCCACCAAAGCGACGAUCAGUAGCCGACCUGAGAGGGUGACCGGCCACAUUGGGACUGAGACACGGCCCAA